CCCUUUUCCCCCAGCCGUAUUUGCUGUCAAUGAGACCACACGAUCCCUCAACAGAAUUCUGGAAAAGAGCCUGAGGACACUUACCUGCAGCAACCAUUAUAUGCAGACUGGAUAAACAUUCUAAUGGGUCUUGUACAUACAAGUAUUUUAUGUAAUGCUUAGAUACCUUUACCCAAGGCUCAGUUGGCUGUGGCUUUCCCCUGUCCUCCCAGCUAGCUUUAGAAAUAAACGCAGCCCAACCAAAUAAGAACAAGAAAAAGCUAUUUAUUCAGAGCUUGCCAUAGCAAGGGAGUCAGCCAGCAUCACUUGCGUUUUGGCAGACACUCAAAGGAAGAUAGAGGAGAGCGAAACCUUUAUUGCAGAAGAAAAAGAAGACUUGGUGUGCUCUGAUUGCAGCUGUUGUCAUGGGGAACCUGAAGCUGCUUUUUGAUAGCUCCAUGGAUGUCAAUGGUGAAUUAUUAACAGUCAAUCAAUAGAAUGGAAAACUUCUGCAGGGCUUUGCCGUCAUGGAAAGAAGUUCCUGGUAUAAAACAGAAUGGCGGAUAAAACCAGAUUGUAGCUUCACACCAUAUGAUAUCAUAUGAUAUUAUCAUGGUUAUGAAAAAUAGAAUCUAUACAUAUAUGUGAAUAGCUAUAUGAAUUGGGAAGAAUGUUUAUUAAAAUAUUAGCAUCAGUUAUAU
rnacentral:lncRNA from 1 species